rnacentral:rRNA from 1 species
UACGAAGGGGGCUAGCGUUGCUCGGAAUCACUGGGCGUAAAGCGCACGUAGGCGGGUCUUUAAGUCAGGGGUGAAAUCCUGGAGCUCAACUCCAGAACUGCCUUUGAUACUGAAGAUCUUUGAGUUCGGGAGAGGUGAGUGGAACUGCGAGUGUAGAGGUGAAAUUCGUAGAUAUUGCAAGAACACCAGUGGCGAAGGCGGCUCACUGGCCCGAUACUGACGC